ACCAGGACAAUCUUUGUCACUAUGGUUGAUGUUAAUAAAGAAGGGGGAUAUGUGGGAGUGUGGCCAUGGGGGUCGACAAGCCCCAUGGUUGGUGAUAACAUCGAGCUCUUAAUGAUGAGGCCAGCAGGAAUGUAAAGCUUAGAGGGAAC